ACCUCUUGGCCUUACCGUUGUUGAGAUACAGCCGCUCCGUACGCUUAACGGGACACCCUGUAUUUUAUAUAGCCGCUUCGAAGACAGCAAAGCAAUGCAACAACUUUUAAAUCGCAGCAUAUGCGCCACAUAUGUUUAGCGUAGUUAAUCAUUUUUAAAAUAUGUUGUAGUGCAUCAUAUGUUUCUUUCCUUUCUGUACUAUACACGAUUGGAACCGAAGGUUUUUCAUUGGUUUUAUGCAGCAAAACCGCUUUCAAGCUGAGUUUUGAACUGUCAAUAAAUAAUUUCCAGUCACCUGCUUCAUAUUUUAUUUCCAUUACGUUUCUGUUGCAAGGAUGUUAACAUCGUUCUCGAAAAUUGGCGUCCACAUGUCCUUGAAAAUUCACUAUUUACAUCAUCAUCUGGACUACUUCAGCAGACAAUUGGCCACUGAAUCUGAACAAGGCGAACGCUACCAUCAAGUUGCUAUGCCAUUUGAAAUUAGAUACAGAGGAAAACAGUCGCCAAGUGCAAUACUUGCGGAAAUUUGCUGAUGAUGAAGAAUUUCCAGAAGUUGCAGUAGGGUCAGCAAUGGAGUCACAAGUUGACAUUAUGUGUGGCUUAGAAACUGAUGGCAGCGAUGAUUACGAUAGCGAUGACACUAGCCCAGAACAAUCACCAUCGAAAAGACCUAGACUCUAGAGCAAUGUUUAUGAACAUAUAAACUUUGUUCUUCUUUAAACUAAGUUUGGCCUUAAUUUUUGUUAAUUUUCAUAAAAUCAAUACUCUUCGGGCAGGAAUACUCAGGUCUCAGGUCUACCUUUUGGACUUAUCUUAUAUUUGUUUUAUAUAUGUAUUUUUUUUAUUUAUUCGUAUUUGUUAUAGUUAUUAUUUUUAUAUUCCAAAUAAAUAUUGUUCUCUCUCUCUAAUAUAGUACUACUAUAUUACUAUAUACUUAUAUGAGAAUACACUUUUAUAAGUACAAUUCGUAGAACAUUCAAGUAAAGACGUUAUUUUUCAA